UUAUCCUGGCUCAGGAUGAACGCUGGCGGCGUGCUUAACACAUGCAAGUCGAACGAUGAUCCCAGCUUGCUGGGGGAUUAGUGGCGAACGGGUGAGUAACACGUGAGUAACCUGCCCUUAACUNUGGGAUAAGCCUGGGAAACUGGGUNUAAUACCGGAUAUGACUCCUCAUCGCAUGGUGGGGGGUGGAAAGCUUUAUUGUGGUUUUGGAUGGACUCGCGGCCUAUCAGCUUGUUGGUGAGGUAAUGGCUUACCAAGGCGACGACGGGUAGCCGGCCUGAGAGGGUGACCGGCCACACUGGGACUGAGACACGGCCCAGACUCCUACGGGAGGCAGCAGUGGGGAAUAUUGCACAAUGGGCGCAAGCCUGAUGCAGCGACGCCGCGUGAGGGAUGACGGCCUUCGGGUUGUAAACCUCUUUCAGUAGGGAAGAAGCGAAAGUGACGGUACCUGCAGAAGAAGCGCCGGCUA
rnacentral:rRNA from 3 species